rnacentral:rRNA from 1 species
AUUGAACGCUGGCGGCAUGCCUUACACAUGCAAGUCGAACGGUAACAGGUCUUCGGAUGCUGACGAGUGGUGAACGGGUGAGUAAUGCAUCGGAACGUGCCUAGUAGUGGGGGAUAACUACUCGAAAGAGUGGCUAAUACCGCAUGAGAUCUACGGAUGAAAGCAGGGGAUCGUAAGACCUUGUGCUACUAGAGCGGCCGAUGGCAGAUUAGGUAGUUGGUGGGAUAAAAGCUUACCAAGCCGACGAUCUGUAGCUGGUCUGAGAGGACGAUCAGCCACACUGGGACUGAGACACGGCCCAGACUCCUACGGGAGGCAGCAGUGGGGAAUUUUGGACAAUGGGCGCAAGCCUGAUCCAGCAAUGCCGCGUGCAGGAUGAAGGCCUUCGGGUUGUAAACUGCUUUUGUACGGAACGAAAAGCCCUGGGUUAAUACCCUGGGGUCACGACGGUACCGUAAGAAUAAGCACCGGCUAACUACGUGCCAGCCGCCGCGGUAACAC